UUCCAUAAAUAAAAAUCUAACAAAGAAAAUAAAGUCUUUGUUGAAUCUUUUAAUUAUUUUUUCUAUUAUCUUGAAUUCUGAUCUCUUUUGGCUGGAACUAUGAUUAAUUACAUUAUUAGUAAAUUAAGUUGCAUCCUUUUUUGUAUUAGUUAUGGGCUUGAUAUCAAUAUGGAUAGAGUGGAAGACGUUUUGUUGCAUCAAAAUCUUCUCACACUUGCAAAGGAUCCAGAGAAGCGGCCUGUUUAUCAUACCCGAUUCAUGGAGGCAGUACAUUUUGUUCUGCUGGAUGGUAUAUCCGCUUUAUGUCCACUUCUAUUGUUGUUCAUUGUGAGAGUCAAAAAGCAAUUCACUUGACAAAAGAUCAAAUGUAUUAUGAGAGAUCUAAGCAUAUAGAUGUCAGGUAUCAUUUUGUAUAGGAUAUUUUUACUAAAGGCAACAAUUCUGCAAAGAAGAUUAGUAUUCAAUCACCAAGUUCAAGCAUUGAGACAUGCCCUUAGGGGACUUGCUUGAACUCUGUCGGUAUUUAGUAUUGAGACAUGCCCUAAGGGGAUUUUGUUGAAGAUGUGGAGAAUUAUGUUAAAGACUGAAGUUGUUUGGGUUCGCGUUUGCAAAAUUCGUGUCCAAGUGGAGAUUCUUGGAUAUGAUGAUUCAAAUUCAAGGUAGGUGCUCCACAUAAAUUUUAGUGUACUUUUUCUUUUUGCCCUAUUUGUUGAUUGUUUGCUUUCAGUACAAAUUACUUGAGUUUCCACGUAACAUUCACUUGUUUUAUUAUGUGUAUUUGUUUGAAAAUUAAGAGCAAAUAGAGAUAGCAAAUUUGAAAUGACCGGGAGAGCUUUUGAAUUCGGAGGACAUAAAUAAGAUGGAGUCAAUUUGGAGGAGGUCCUCAUGUGCCCUGCAAAAGAGCAUGCCCAAUUACAAAUACUUGUUGUGAUGUAUAAUAUAGUCAGGACAUUUAGAUGGAGAAAUUAAUCCUAGAUGAACCAUUAAUCAGUGGCCUCAUUUUAUUUUUGGAGCCUGAGAUAUCAUAUUAAAUUAAAGUUUAUGAAUGUGUAUUGGCUUUGUUUUAUGUAUGUUCUACUUGGAAUCAUUUUUAAUUGAAUUAUGAAGAAUUGUUCUCAUGUAAUUGAA